rnacentral:tRNA from 4 species
CGGGGCGUAGCGCAGUUGGCUAGCGCGCUUGGUUCGGGACCAAGAGGUCGACAGUUCAAAUCUGUCCGCCCCGACCA